rnacentral:rRNA from 1 species
CCUACGGGAGGCAGCAGUGGGGAAUAUUGCACAAUGGGGGGAACCCUGACGCAGCAAUGCCGCGUGGGUGAAGAAGCACUCCGGUGCGUAAAGCCCUGUCAGCAGGGAAGAAAAUGACAGUACCUGGACAAGAAGCUCCGGCUAACUACGUGCCAGAUGCCGCGGUAAUACGUAGGGGGCAAGGGUUAUCCGGAUUUACUGGGUGUAAAGGGGACGCAGGCGGCGUGGCAAGUCAGAUGUGAAAACGCGGGGCCCAACCGUAGGAUUGCAAUUGAAACUGGCAGUCUGGAGUGCAGGUGAGGUAAGCGGAAUUCCUGGUGUAGCGGUGAAAUGCGUAGAUAUCAGGAGGAACACCGGUGGCGGAGGCGGCUUACUGAACGGCAACUGACGCUGAGGCUCGAAAGCGUGGGGAGCAAACAGGAUUAGAUACCCGUGUAGUC